UGCUGUCACUUAUAGAUGGAUCCGCGCUGCAUUAGCUAGUUGGUAAGGUAACGGCUUACCAAGGCAACGAUGCAUAGCCGACCUGAGAGGGUGAUCGGCCACACUGGAACUGAGACACGGUCCAGACUCCUACGGGAGGCAGCAGUAGGGAAUCUUCCGCAAUGGGCGAAAGCCUGACGGAGCAACGCCGCGUGAGUGAUGAAGGUCUUCGGAUCGUAAAACUC
rnacentral:rRNA from 1 species